rnacentral:rRNA from 1 species
UACGGGGGGAGCAAGCGUUGUUCGGAUUUACUGGGCGUAAAGAGCGCGCAGGCGGUCGUUCAAGUCGCGUGUGAAAGCCCCCCGGCUCAACUGGGGAGGGUCACGCGAUACUGAUCGACUCGAAGGCAGGAGAGGGAAGUGGAAUUCCCGGUGUAGUGGUGAAAUGCGUAGAUAUCGGGAGGAACACCAGUGGCGAAGGCGACUUCCUGGCCUGUUCUUGACGCUGAGGCGCGAAAGCGUGGGGAGCAAACAGG